CCUACGGGAUGCAGCAGUGGGGAAUAUUGCACAAUGGGCGCAAGCCUGAUGCAGCCAUGCCGCGUGUAUGAAGAAGGCCUUCGGGUUGUAAAGUACUUUCAGCGAGGAGGAAGGCGGUGAGGUUAAUAACCUCAUCGAUUGACGUUACUCGCAGAAGAAGCACCGGCUAACUCCGUGCCAGUAGCCGCGGUAAUACGGAGGGUGCAAGCGUUAAUCGGAAUUACUGGGCGUAAAGCGCACGCAGGCGGUCUGUUAAGUCAGAUGUGAUAUCCCCGGGCUCAACCUGGGAACUGCAUUUGAAACUGGCAGGCUUGAGUCUUGUAGAGGGGGUUAGAAUUCCAGGUGUAGCGGUGAAAUGCGUAGAGAUCUGGAGGAAUACCGGUGGCGAAGGCGGCCCCCUGGACAAAGACUGAUGCUCAGGUGCGAAAGCGUGGGGAGCAAACAGGAUUAGAUACCCGGGUAGUC
rnacentral:rRNA from 1 species